AAUAUCGUCUGAGUUCACCAUCCAUGAGCCGCAAGUCAUGUUUUCUGGUGCUACGAGUAUAAAACAAGUUCAUACUUUGUUUUAUUACCCUUUUGUGGUGGUGUUCCUAUACCUUUUGGCCUAAGAAGGCUCUUUGAAACACUGAGACAGGGUGGUGUUCCUAUACCUUCUGGCCUAAGAAGGCUCUCUGAAACACUGAGACAAACAAAGCUAGACAUUUGGAGUAUGAUUAGGUAGUCCAGUCAGCGUUACUAAUCCCCGCUUGAGCUUGACUGUAUUUCCUGGCUUAAUGUAUGAGAUUCUAUGUAUAGCAAAAUUAUGUGUAGAAUUUCAUGUAGGUUUGAAAGCCAAUCGAUUCCAUGCUUUGAGCUGCAACGUGACCCCUAUUCUGAAUUGGUCUUUGGAUCCAGUCCCUAUGAACAUAUAAGGAAAUUUUAGUUAUAAAACAAUACUCACACAUGCCAUAUUGCUAUAUGAGGGUGCUGCUAUGUACAAUUAUAGAUGCUUUCAUUUGACUUCCAUUU
rnacentral:lncRNA from 1 species